UCGAAUCCCGACGAUCUCAGAGAUCCGAGGAGGUGAAAAAUUCGAAAAACCUCAAAUGGCGGCGACUCUGCCGUCAUCAAACCCUAAUGGCGAACCAACCGACACCAAAUCCCUCAUCGUCUCCUUCUCGAAUCGAAUCUGGAGAUCUCUCCUCAAAGCUCUCCCCUCUGCAGAUUCCAGCCUCCUCGCGAAAAUCUCGAAUCUCUACUCGAAGUUUCUGCCGUCGCGAUCGAGGCGACGAAAGCUAGGGCUCCCUCUUCCUCUUGGUUCGAGCUCAAUUCAGUCUUCUCUGAUUGCCAGAGACACGUCAAGAGUACUUGCUAUAUUAGAAGAUAUCUUGGGACAUACUCUGUCAAGCUUGCAUAAUAUACAAAAGAGCUUGUUAUUUUGGCAGUCUCUAGCUGAGGGAACAAGUAGUCGGAAAAUAUCGUUUAUGAUUUUCCAGAGGGGUCCACGGGCUUUUGUUGAUGGAACAUAUCAGAUUGUAACUAGAUUUGGUACUCAGGGGUCUCCAUUUGGGCAUAUGUCUCGUUCUGCUGCUGGUACAAUAUCUGCAAAUAUAGCUGUUUUGAAAAGUUUCCAGUGUUGCUUGGCAACAUUCCUUGCUCAGAUUUAUUUGGAGGUGAACAAAUUUGGGCAAAUGCUAACAGAGGACUCUGACAACUUCUUGCCCCAAUUAUUAAAAGCAAUCAAUAGCAUCUUUUCAGAACUUGAAGCUUCCAUUAGCCAUCCAUCUGAAAUCUACAAGAGCAAUUGUUCAUUUUCCAUGGAAGGGGAAGGCUCACGUGCACUUAUCUUUGAGAAGUUAUGUGAGAUAGACAAGGAACAAUCACAAUGGAAAGAUACUGAAAUAGGGGAUGCAGUUAAUGUGAUUCGUCAAAAUCUUCAAAGAUUAGAUUCAUAUCUAUCUUUCUUUCUUUCCAGGUGUCAAAAACCAAGAAAAUCGACAUUGUACUGGUUACAUUAUACUUGUGGAGCAGUUGGCCUUUCAUUGUGUUCAGUUUGGCUAUUGCGCCAUAGUAGUUUAAUGGGAAGUUCUGAUAUUGACAACUGGAUCCAAGAAGCAAAAGAAUCUACAGCUGGAUUUUGGAAAGAGCAUGUUGAACAACCGCUUAUUUCUAUCAGAGACGAUCUAUUUGAGACAUUCAGAGGAAGACAAAAAGGUGUCAUGGAGGCUGAAGAGGUUCACUUGACUUCAAAUUCUCUCCAUAGAAUGUUGUUGGCAUUCGGUGAGCAAACAAAAGGUCAAAAGCUUCCUGAGAGUCUUUCAGAUCAAGAUAUGAUGGAAAUUGUCAUGGACAGAUAUGAGAGGGAACUGAUGCAUCCAAUUCAGAACCUUCUCCAUGGAGAGCUUGCUCGGGCAUUGCUUAUUCAGAUUCAAAAGCUAAAGCUGGACAUUGAAAUGGCAAUGCUUGAACUGGAUCAAAUUCUCAAGGCAAAUGAAAUCAACUUCGCCAUUCUUGCUGCCUUACCAGCCUUUUUCCUUUCCAUACUUCUGCUCAUGUUGGUACAGGCAUGGGCUCUGAAGGACAAAGGUGCAGAAGGUAGGGGAAGGGCUGCUCGCAUUCAGAGGAGGCUUCUCAUUGUUGAAGUUGAGAAACGGGUAAUGCAAUUCCAUGCUAGUACGGAUCAAGGAAAGGAGGAAGACGCUCAGUGCAUGUUUGGAUUGGUGCUAUAUAGCCUUGAUCGCCUUUACAAGGCAGUGGAAAGGCACGCGAAGGAAACUGGAGAGUGGCUAAGCUUGAGACAAGAUAUAGCCAACCUUGGUAGGCCAGAACUGAGUAAAGAGGACAAGCUUGCUAUUAUUUCGCGCAUGGAAAGAAUGUAUUAUUGCCUGCUGUCUUCAGCUCCUUCAUCAAGAUGGUAUUGAUUGUCUCACUUGAAAGAUCAACAUUCUGCGCCUAUUUGCUUGUGCAGAAAUUUUGACCCCUGUGGAUCUUUCAGUAUGUAAAAUACAGGUGAGACGAGCUACAAUGUUGGCUAUGUUCAAACGCUGUAUAAAAGAAAUUUUGUUUUGGAAUGUGUUGACGUAUUAAAGUGUACAGAGUCUUGAAGGAUUAGCUGUUUUGCUCUAAAGGAGAAUGUUGGGAGAUUACUCGGAUUCCCCUAUUACCAGAUUUAAGAGAAAGCGAAAUAAAUGCGCAAAAAAAGGGGGACACAAGAUUUACGUGGUUCAGCACAAAAUUGCCUACGUCCACGGGCUGCUGCAGAUCUUUCACUAUUGGAAGAAAUUUUACAAACUACUCUCAAAGAUUUUUCACACUCAAACUCACAACCCAAUCUCACUCUGAAAAUUGCUCACAAUUUUCUCUCACAAGGAUCUUUUUCUAAGCUUUUCUUUUCUCUCUCUUACUCUUCUAUAAGAGGAGUUGUUUUUGGGAUGAGUUUUUCUUAAGAGUUUGGGAGCCUAUUUAUAGUGUUUGGAAAAAUAUUAUGCACCAAUAAAAAAUAUUAUUUUCUGUGGUGGGGCUAGCGGUGGGGCCCGCUCAUCUUCUUUGUCAACAAAACAGCCUCCCAUUUCUUUGCCUGUUUCUUUGCUCCACCGAAAGUUCCUCCACCUUUUCUUUUUGUCAAUUUUAGCUGUCACAUUUCGGUGGCUGAAAUAUUUGACCAACAAUCUCCCACUUGAAGACUGAUUUUAAUCUAUCUUCACAUCUCAAUCUAUGCAGCAGCUCUUCCCUGGUCUUGAUAUUAUUGCAGGCCAACUGAAGCUGAACACAGCUUUAGUUUGUCAGUAGUCACCGUCUUUGUCAGCAUGUCUGUCGGAUUUUGAGCUCCACUGAUCUUUUCAAGCUUUAAAAUUCCAUCUUUCAGAA